UCCCUGGUGGUCCAGUGGUUAAGACGCUGCACUGGCAGUUCAGAGGGCUCAGGUUCGAUCCCUGGUCAGAGAA
rnacentral:tRNA from 1 species